rnacentral:rRNA from 1 species
UACGUAGGGUGCGAGCGUUGUCCGGCAUUAUUGGGCGUAAAGAGCUCGUAGGCGGUUUGUCGCGUCGACUGUGAAAACCUGGGGCUUAACUCUGGGCCUGCAGUCGAUACGGGCAGACUUGAGUUCGGUAGGGGAGACUGGAAUUCCUGGUGUAGCGGUGAAAUGCGCAGAUAUCAGGAGGAACACCGGUGGCGAAGGCGGGUCUCUGGGCCGAUACUGACGCUGAGGAGCGAAAGCGUGGGGAGCGAACAGG